rnacentral:rRNA from 1 species
GACGAACGCUGGCGGCGCGCCUAACACAUGCAAGUCGAACGAGCGAGAGAGAGCUUACUUUCUCAAGCGAGUGGCGAACGGGUGAGUAACGCGUGAGGAACCUGCCUCAAAGAGGGGGACAACAGUUGGAAACGACUGCUAAUACCGCAUAAGCCCACAGGUCGGCAUCGACCAGAGGGAAAAGGAGCAAUCCGCUUUGAGAUGGCCUCGCGUCCGAUUAGCUAGUUGGUGGGGUAACGGCUCACCAAGGCGACGAUCAGUAGCCGACCUGAGAGGGUGAUCGGCCACAUUGGGACUGAGACACGGCCCAG